UACGAAGGGGGCUAGCGUUGCUCGGAAUCACUGGGCGUAAAGGGUGCGUAGGCGGGUCUUUAAGUCAGGGGUGAAAUCCUGGAGCUCAACUCCAGAACUGCCUUUGAUACUGAAGAUCUUGAGUUCGGGAGAGGUGAGUGGAACUGCGAGUGUAGAGGUGAAAUUCGUAGAUAUUCGCAAGAACACCAGUGGCGAAGGCGGCUCUCUGGACCGAGACUGACGCUGAGGCGCGAAAGCGUGGGGAGCAAACAGG
rnacentral:rRNA from 1 species